UUCAGUGGCCCAAACCAUAUCACCCUGCAGCCCAAGACUGGUUGCCCACUGAAGCUAAGCAGGGCUGAGCCUGGUCAGUAACUGGAUGGGAAACCUCUUGGGAAAACUAGGUUGCUGCUGGAA
ensembl:rRNA 5S_rRNA 5S ribosomal RNA